UACGGAGGGGGCUAGCGUUGUUCGGAAUUACUGGGCGUAAAGCGCACGUAGGCGGCUAUUCAAGUCAGAGGUGAAAGCCUGGAGCUCAACUCCAGAACUGCCUUUGAAACUAGAUAGCUAGAAUCAUGGAGAGGUGAGUGGAAUUCCGAGUGUAGAGGUGAAAUUCGUAGAUAUUCGCAAGAACACCAGUGGCGAAGGCGGCUUACUGGUCCGGUUCUGACGCUGAGGCGCGAAAGCGUGGGGAGCAAACAGG
rnacentral:rRNA from 1 species